UACGUAGGUGACCAGCGUUGUCCGGAUUUACUGGGCGUAAAGAGCGCGCAGGCGGUCGUUCAAGUCGAGUGUGAAAGCCCCCGGCUCAACUGGGGAGGGUCAUUCGAUACUGAUCGACUCGAAGGCAGGAGAGGGAAGUGGAAUUCCCGGUGUAGUGGUGAAAUGCGUAGAUAUCGGGAGGAACACCAGUGGCGAAGGCGACUUCCUGGCCUGUUCUUGACGCUGAGGCGCGAAAGCGUGGGGAGCAAACAGG
rnacentral:rRNA from 1 species